rnacentral:rRNA from 1 species
CCGCGGUAUAUUGACCGUGCUAAGGUAGCAUAAUCAUUAGUUUUUUUAUUGAAAGCUGGAAUGAAGGGUUGGAUGAAAAAAAAACUGUCUUUAUUUAAUUUAAAAAGAAAUUUAUUUUUAAGUUAAAAAGCUUAAAUUUUUUUAAAAGACGAGAAGACCCUAUAGAGUUUAAUAAAUUUAAAAAUAUAUUUUUUUAGAAUUUAAUUUAUUUAUAUUUUAAAUUUAUUUAAUUGGGGUGAUUGAAAAAUAAAUUUAACUUUUUUUGUAUUAUUAUAUUGAUUAAUAAAUUGUUGAUCCGAUAUUUUUGAUUAUAAGAUUAAAUUACCUUAGGGAUAACAGCGUAAUUUUAUUGGAGAGUU